rnacentral:snoRNA from 1 species
AAACUAUGGUGUGGGCACUUUCUAAGAAGUUCCUUUGUACCUUUCUCAUGCAUCGUACAAGGUUUUCCCAUCGUACUGAGUGAAAGUGUGAAUAUGCUUCAGAAGUCU